rnacentral:rRNA from 1 species
UUUACCGUGACGCUACACCCCGUGUCCACGAAUCGUUCUCAACACCAGCACGCUGUUGCCAAGACGAUCACGAACAAGGGCCAGGCACUUAGCCUAAAAGGCUCCCGCUGCAAUCCUCAAUCCCACGCGUCGCAUUGACCGCUGGCUAUAACACUCCGAAAGGAGUCACAUUCCGACGGACUUUUUACAACGUGCGAAAUUGAUGCUAACCUGCCUUGCGAGAAAGUGCACUUCCAGUAAUCCCGAAAGCUGAUUUCCCGCCAGCACGACUG